GAUGCCUCAAAUCAAUGCAUGGUUUAACAGGUUUGAGUACAAAUUUUGCUAGGAUAGUGAGCAUAACACUGUUGUGAGGAGGGUGUGGGAAAAUCACGCGGCAACUAGGUAAGAUCGAAAACAAUACAAGAUUUUUUU